AGUGAACGCUGGCGGUAGGCCUAACACAUGCCAGUCGAACGGCAGCACAGUAAGAGCUUGCUCUUACGGGUGGCGAGUGGCGGACGGGUGAGGAAUACAUCGGAAUCUACUUUUUCGUGGGGGAUAACGUAGGGAAACUUACGCUAAUACCGCAUACGACCUCCGGGUGAAAGCAGGGGAUCUUCGGACCUUGCGCGAUUGAAUGAGCCGAUGUCGGAUUAGCUAGUUGGCGGGGUAAAGGCCCACCAAGGCGACGAUCCGUAGCUGGUCUGAGAGGAUGGUCAGCCACACUGGAACUGAGACACGGUCCAGACUCCUACGGGAGGCAGCAGUGGGGAAUAUUGGACAAUGGGCGCAAGCCUGAUCCAGCCAUACCGCGUGGGUGAAGAAGGCCUUCGGGUUGUAAAGCCCUUUUGUUGGGAAAGAAAAGCAGCAGGUUAAUACCCCGCUGUUCUGACGGUACCCAAAGAAUAAGCACCGGCUAACUUCGUG
rnacentral:rRNA from 1 species